UCGGUGCUCGUCCAAUUGGCAGGACGCGAGACUUUGACUCUCGAGAUCGUGGUUCGAGUCCACGGCGCCGAGCCA
rnacentral:tRNA from 1 species